AUUGAACGCUGGCGGCAUGCCUUACACAUGCAAGUCGAACGGCAGCACGGGUGCUUGCACCUGGUGGCGAGUGGCGAACGGGUGAGUAAUACAUCGGAACAUGUCCUGUAGUGGGGUAUAGCCCGGCGAAAGCCGGAUUAAUACCGCAUACGAUCUACGGAUGAAAGCGGGGGACCUUCGGGCCUCGCGCUAUAGGGUUGGCCGAUGGCUGAUUAGCUAGUUGGUGGGGUAAAGGCCUACCAAGGCGACGAUCAGUAGCUGGUCUGAGAGGACGACCAGCCACACUGGGACUGAGACACGGCCCAGACUCCUACGGGAGGCAGCAGUGGGGAAUUUUGGACAAUGGGCGAAAGCCUGAUCCAGCAAUGCCGCGUGUGUGAAGAAGGCCUUCGGGUUGUAAAGCACUUUUGUCCGGAAAGAAAUCCUUGGCCCUAAUACGGUCGGGGGAUGACGGUACCGGAAGAAUAAGCACCGGCUAACUACGUG
rnacentral:rRNA from 1 species